rnacentral:rRNA from 1 species
GACGAACGCUGGCGGCGCGCUUAAUACAUGCAAGUCGAGCGAGAACCAGGGCUUCGGCCCUGGGGACAGCGGCGAACGGGUGAGUAACACGUGGGUAAUCAACCCCCGACACCGGGAUAGCCCAGGGAAACUUGGAUUAAUACCGGAUGCCCCAUCUGGCUCUCGAGCCGGCUGGAAAAGGGUAGCUUCGGCCUCCGGUCGGGGACGAGCCCGCGGCGGAUUAGCUUGUUGGUGAGGUAAAGGCUCACCAAGGCGACGAUCCGUAGCUGGUCUGAGAGGACGAUCAGCCACACUGGGACUGAGACACGGCCCAGACUCCUACGGGAGGCAGCAGUAGGGAAUCUUGCGCAAUGGGCGAAAGCCUGACGCAGCGACGCCGCGUGAGGGAAGAAGGCCUUCGGGUUGUAAACCUCUUUCAGGAGGGACGAAGCCACUCGGGUUAAUAGCCCAGAGGGUGACGGUACCUCCAGAAGAAGCCCCGGCUAACUACGUGCCAGCCGCCGCCGUAACAC